rnacentral:rRNA from 1 species
GUGGAUUAGAUACCCUGGUAGUCUUAGCUGUAAACGAUGUGAACUUAGUGUCGGUGGGUUUAAAUCCAUCGGUACUGAAGCUAACGCGAUAAGUUCACCGCCUGGGGACUACGGCCGCAAGGUUAAAACUCAAAGGAAUUGACGGGGCCCCGCACAAGCAGCGGAGCGUGUGGUUUAAUUCGAUGUUACACGAAGAACCUUACCAGGGUUUGCCAUGCAAGUGGUAGGAAACCGAAAGGUGACCGACUCCUCGGAGAGCUUGCACAGGUGCUGCACGGCCGUCGUCAACU